rnacentral:rRNA from 1 species
UACGAAGGGGGCUAGCGUUGCUCGGAGUCACUGGGCGUAAAGGGCGCGUAGGCGGACGUUUAAGUCGGGGGGUGAAAUCCUGGAGCUCAACCUCAGAAUUGCCUUCGAUACUGGGCGUCUCGAGACCGGAAGAGGUGAGUGGAACUGCGAGUGUAGAGGUGAAAUUCGUAGAUAUUCGCAAGAACACCAGUGGCGAAGGCGGCUCACUGGUCCGGUUCUGACGCUAAGGCGCGAAAGCGUGGGGAGCAAACAGG